AUAAAGCCACAUGACUGGAGGCUUGUUCAAAGCAUACCUAACUUCUUUUCUUUCAACUGGAACUACUGAAUUAAGCAAGGAAUUAAAAUGCAUUGCUAUUUUGAUUGUGAUGAACAAGGAAGGGGCUGAAGAUGAUAUAAUAUCAUUCAAUUCAAAGCAAGAUUAAGGUUAGUUCUUUGUUUAUAGUGUUACAUAUGAAGUUUAAAAGUAGUAUUAGAAAGUUCAUAAUAAAGUAGUUGAUAUGAUGCGAAUUGCGACUGUGGUAUCUAAGUAUCAGUAAAGGAAGCUUUGUUGUCAUUAUGCGGAGCAAUAAGGGAAGAAAUUAUAGCAUAAGAAUAGAUGCAAACAUCUCUGACCUCUGAUUUUGAAAUGGACGCAAAUAUGGUAUUUGUUAAAAGUCCUAAUAAGGACUGUUUUGUUCAAAUGUUGAAAUUGAGUGGAAAUUGAUGCUAAGAAUAAGUGUAAAGACAUUAUAUAUAGCUAAUUAAAUGGUUUGUAUGAAUUAAGUUAAGUGGGAAAGCUAUUUUAAGAAAAACAACUUAUUAAUGUUAGUUUAAAAUACUGUCUUGACAGAGUACCUUUGUCAUUAUAUAAAACUCAAUUAGAUUACUUGUAUGGAGAAUAGUAUAUUUUCUAAAAAUACUUUGUCAUGUCCUUUACUGCACUAAAGUUUUGUUUUAAACUAACGAGUGGAUUGUGAGUUAUAAAUUAGUCAAACUAGCACAUCGAUCAUGGGAUAUGCAGUCGUGCCACAGUAGCAGCCGUGUGUUGGUUGUACUGCAUUGUUGUGUAUAUGUUGGGCUGACCAGUUUUAGUCUAUAAUUUAACCAAUUUAAGUUCUCCAAUUCAAUUAAGUUUUAUUUCUAAAAAAAAUGAUAUGUCAUGUUUAUGUUUUGUUGUCUUUGUCAAAAUAAAUUAUAUUACUACAUUAUCUUUGUUCUAGUAAAAAUAUGUUAAUUUUUGUAAUGACCGGAACUUUACUUUUUAAUGAUGAAUAUUUAUUAUGUUGUUCAAAAAAUUAUUGCCCCCCAAGAUCAAAUCGUGACUUCGUCUUGGGAAUAAGUUCCGUCAAAAUUAUUCCAACUGAAUUAACCCCUAUUCUUGUAAUGAUCAUGACCAAACAAAAUAUUAUUGAUCGUAGCAAGCCACGAUCAAUAGGGCCGAUCCAGUAGUUAAGUCAUUUAAACAAUGGCUUGAGGUCCCAAAAUUAAGAAGACCCCCAAAUUUUAAUAAUUCAUAUAUGUUAGAGCCCAAAUUUUUCUCCCAAGCAAAUCAAUAGCUCAUACAAAAAAAAAAAGCCCCAAUUUAAGAUUUAGCUUGAGGCCCCCAAAAAAUUUGGACCGACCCUGAGGAUCAAGGUGGUACUACAUAGAAAGAAAAUGAAGUUUCACUAAUAUGUAUAUUAUUGUUCUGAAAGGAGUAACAAGUAUACAUAAAUAUACAGGGGGAACCAGGAUUUAUUAUUACAGGAGUACGUAUUAUUAAUUGGAACGUGGAAAUGGUGCUGUAUCGGCCUGGCAGAACCCUAGCUAGUUAGCAUGCGUGCCCUCCGGUGGGGCGGUAGAGUUGAAGCUUCCGACAGUGUAAUGGUUGCAAUGGUCUUGCAUUCUCUGCUGCAAACUGCGCAAGUAACACAUUUAUCACCAAAUAUCUAUAAGAUAUGUAUCUAACUAUAACUAGCCCUUCAUGCUGCAAAACUAGUAGGUUGAGACUAUAACUAAUUAAAACUAAUUUAUAUUCCUACUUAGGCCGAGCUGAACUCAUUUAUUUAGGCAAAACUCAUUUAUAUUAUGGAAACUGUAAUUGGGUGGAAAAAAAUUAUAGUACUUUCCUUUUUUUAUUUUGAG
rnacentral:lncRNA from 1 species